AGGAUGAACGCUGGCGGCGUGCCUAACACAUGCAAGUCGAACGUCCUGUCUCGCAAGAGGCAGGGAGUGGCGGACGGGUGAGUACCACGUGGGUCAUCUACCGUGAGGUGAGGAAUACCGGCGAGAAAUCGCCGACAAGACCGCAUAGGCUCGAUGCAAGUCGAGCAAAGCUCUUUCGAGAGAGGGAGCGCCACACGAGGAGCCUGCGCCCGAUUAGCUAGCUGGUGGAGUAACGGUUCACCAGGGCGACGAUCGGUAGCUGGUCUGAGAGGACGAUCAGCCACACUGGGAUUGAGAACGGCCCAGACUCCUACGGGGGGCAGCAGUGAGGAAUUUCGUCAAUGGGGGCAACCCUGAACGAGCAACGCCGCGUGCAGGAAGAGGUUUCGGAUCGUAAACUGCUUUUCUCGGGAAGAGAAUGGACGGUACCGAGGAAUCAGCCCCGGCUAAUUACGUGCCAGCAGCCGCGGU
rnacentral:rRNA from 1 species